AGCAAUGUCAGUGAUAACAAGCAAAAAUAGGACAGGGGAGAAAGCCAAGAGUCUUCAGACCACAAGAGAAGGAGAGAUUAAUUCUGGAAAAUCCACCUGGAUGGACAGCAGCAGAGGGAGGAGGAGGCAGGACAGACCAGAAGAGAGACAAUGAGGUUCUGAACCUAGAUGUUGGCCAAGGGAGCAGAGGAGGGCAGGUCAGGAGGCCCUCGCCCUGCAAUCACCCUUCCUGGGAGCCUUCACUUCACCUGUGAUCUCAAGACCUCUCCCUACUGCCUGACUCGCGCCGAGCUUAUGGAACAUCUUCCCUUGAGGGUCGCAGUCCAUUCGAUGAGCCCUUGUCACAGGUCCUGCUUCUGUGGGGAGCUCAAGCGCGGACACCCUUGGAACACUCCCCAAGUCUCUUCCUUCCCAUCCAGCACCACUUCCCUAAGUCACAGCUGCACCACCUCUCAUCUGGACUGCUCACAGCAGGUGGAGUCAGGAUCAAAAUAGCCAAAGAAAAAGUAAGAAUCCGUAUACAGGAAACAAAUAUGUGAUGAUGACCGGAGCAGCUCAGAAUCAGAACUUGAGCAAGACCUGGGCUGCUUUGAUUUUCUGAAGGUCUCAAAAUAUUAGGGGCAAAAAAGAAAAUAAAAAAAGAAAAAAAAGAAGGAAUACCAAAAGCAAGUUACAUAAAGUAUGAGAUAUAUUACA
rnacentral:lncRNA from 10 species